UACGUAGGCCACAAGCGUUAUCCGGAUUUAUUGGGCGUAAAGCGUGUGUAGGUGGUUCGGUGCGUCUAUGGUUAAAGCCCACUGCCUAACGGUGGAAGUGCCAUGGAUACGACCGGACUGGAGGGAGUUAGAGGUGCACGGAACACAUGGUGUAGGGGUGAAAUCCGUUGAUAUCAUGUGGAACACCGAAGGCGAAGGCAGUGCACUGGGACUUUCCUGACACUGAGACACGAAAGCGUGGGGAGCAAACGGG
rnacentral:rRNA from 1 species